rnacentral:rRNA from 1 species
AAAUUGAAGAGUUUGAUCAUGGCUCAGAUUGAACGCUGGCGGCAGGCCUAACACAUGCAAGUCGAACGGUAACAGAAAGCAGCUUGCUGCUUUGCUGACGAGUGGCGGACGGGUGAGUAAUGUCUGGGAAACUGCCUGAUGGAGGGGGAUAACUACUGGAAACGGUAGCUAAUACCGCAUAAUGUCGCAAGACCAAAGAGGGGGACCUUCGGGCCUCUUGCCAUCGGAUGUGCCCAGAUGGGAUUAGCUUGUUGGUGGGGUAACGGCUCACCAAGGCGACGAUCCCUAGCUGGUCUGAGAGGAUGACCAGCCACACUGGAACUGAGACACGGUCCAGACUCCUACGGGAGGCAGCAGUGGGGAAUAUUGCACAAUGGGCGCAAGCCUGAUGCAGCCAUGCCGCGUGUAUGAAGAAGGCCUUCGGGUUGUAAAGUACUUUCAGCGGGGAGGAAGGGAGUAAAGUUAAUACCUUUACUCAUUGACGUUACCCGCAGAAGAAGCACCGGCUAACUCCGUGCCAGCAGCCGCGGUAAUACGGAGGGUGCAAGCGUUAAUCGGAAUUACUGGGCGUAAAGCGCACGCAGGCGGUUUGUUAAGUCAGAUGUGAAAUCCCCGGGCUCAACCUGGGAACUGCAUCUGAUACUGGCAAGCUUGAGUCUCGUAGAGGGGGGUAGAAUUCCAGGUGUAGCGGUGAAAUGCGUAGAGAUCUGGAGGAAUACCGGUGGCGAAGGCGGCCCCCUGGACGAAGACUGACGCUCAGGUGCGAAAGCGUGGGGAGCAAACAGGAUUAGAUACCCUGGUAGUCCACGCCGUAAACGAUGUCGACUUGGAGGUUGUGCCCUUGAGGCGUGGCUUCCGGAGCUAACGCGUUAAGUCGACCGCCUGGGGAGUACGGCCGCAAGGUUAAAACUCAAAUGAAUUGACGGGGGCCCGCACAAGCGGUGGAGCAUGUGGUUUAAUUCGAUGCAACGCGAAGAACCUUACCUGGUCUUGACAUCCACGGAAGUUUUCAGAGAUGAGAAUGUGCCUUCGGGAACCGUGAGACAGGUGCUGCAUGGCUGUCGUCAGCUCGUGUUGUGAAAUGUUGGGUUAAGUCCCGCAACGAGCGCAACCCUUAUCCUUUGUUGCCAGCGGUCCGGCCGGGAACUCAAAGGAGACUGCCAGUGAUAAACUGGAGGAAGGUGGGGAUGACGUCAAGUCAUCAUGGCCCUUACGACCAGGGCUACACACGUGCUACAAUGGCGCAUACAAAGAGAAGCGACCUCGCGAGAGCAAGCGGACCUCAUAAAGUGCGUCGUAGUCCGGAUUGGAGUCUGCAACUCGACUCCAUGAAGUCGGAAUCGCUAGUAAUCGUGGAUCAGAAUGCCACGGUGAAUACGUUCCCGGGCCUUGUACACACCGCCCGUCACACCAUGGGAGUGGGUUGCAAAAGAAGUAGGUAGCUUAACCUUCGGGAGGGCGCUUACCACUUUGUGAUUCAUGACUGGGGUGAAGUCGUAACAAGGUAACCGUAGGGGAACCUGCGGUUGGAUCACCUCCUUA